rnacentral:rRNA from 1 species
GAUGAACGCUAGCGGCAGGCUUAACACAUGCAAGUCGAGGGGCAGCGCGAUGUAGCAAUACAUUGGCGGCGACCGGCGCACGGGUGCGUAACACGUAUGGAACUUACCCUUUACUGGGAGAUAGCCCGGAGAAAUCCGGAUUAAUAUCCCAUAAUAAACGAGGUGGCAUCACUUUGUUUUGAAAGCUCCGGCGGUAAAGGAUGGCCAUGCGCACGAUUAGCUAGUAGGUGAGGUAACGGCUCACCUAGGCUACGAUCGUUAGGGGGCCUGAGAGGGUUAUCCCCCACACUGGUACUGAGACACGGACCAGACUCCUACGGGAGGCAGCAGUGAGGAAUAUUGGACAAUGGGCGCAAGCCUGAUCCAGCCAUGCCGCGUGCAGGAUGAAGGCCCUCUGGGUUGUAAACUGCUUUUCUACGGGAAUAAACCCCUUUACGUGUAAAGGGCUGAAGGUACCGUAGGAAUAAGCACCGGCUAACUCCGUGCCAGCAGCCGCGGUAAAGUGUG